CCCUCCAACCUAUUUGUGUUUGAGGGGAAUGAAUAUAUAUAUAUAUAUAUAUAUAUUCAUUCCCCUCAAACACAAAUAGGUUGGAGGG
rnacentral:miRNA from 1 species